UCAUUGAUUGUCUCGUGCGUCGUAAGAAGUUUUUCCUCCUACUGGGUUGGUGAUCACGGAGCUGAGGUCGGUUGAUCCUGAUUUUACUGCGAGGAUGGCGAUUAUAAACAGUGCGAGGAUGGCGAUUAUAAACAGUGCCGGUUUUGUUGGGUACGGGUGGUAUGAUUUUUCUUGCUUGACUUUUAUUAUAUAGAGAAUUUGGAAGGACAUGUCUUCAUAUGCAGGUGAUUGGAGAAGCUACCCAAAUGGAUUGUGUGAUCCCAUCUUCUGGACUUUAUGGUGCCCUGCUUCCUUGGAGUGUUUUUCAAUCUUCGGGAUAUCAAUUGAUCUUUACUAUAGUUCCGAUUUCCUCUGAUCAAGUCGCCUUCGGACGUGAGCUCCAACGUCGCCCUGAUCUGUACGGGCUUGUUUCGAUUGGGAGACCACACUAUUUGUGGAAUGACGUAAUCAACAAUUAAGCAAAAUAGGAAAAUUGCACAGGAAGUCCUGUCAAAUAAUGUGAAUGGCAUGCAGUGACGUCCUUUCGAUG